AGAAUCAACGCUGGCGGCGUGCCUAACACAUGCAAGUCGCACGAGAAAGGGACUUCGGUCCUGAGUACAGUGGCGCACGGGUGAGUAACACGUGAAUCAUCUACCUCCGAGUGGGGAAUAACCUAGAGAAAUCUGGGCUAAUACCGCAUAACACUUACGAGUCAAAGCAGCAAUGCGCUUGGAGAGGAGUUCGCGGCAGAUUAGUUAGUUGGCGGGGUAAUUGGCCCACCAAGACGAUGAUCUGUA
rnacentral:rRNA from 1 species